GGGCCACUUCUUGCGCGCUGCCAGAAGGAGCUAUUUUGAGCAGGCCAAGCUCGGGACCCUGUCAUCAUCCCCGGGGACAGGCCCCAUCUUAGAGAGGAUCCACCCAGCUCCCCGCUCCUGAGCCAUCUUCCAGCUAUCCCGCCUCGAGACUCCCACCGCACCUGCUCCUGGGCUGCAGCUGCACCCAACAAGUGUCAACAUGUGGAUUGCUUCUAGAAUUUGGAUAUUAUGAACACUGCUGUGCUGAACAUUCUUGUACACUUAUAUGGUUUGGCUGUGUCCCCACCCAAAUCUCAUCUUGAAUUGUAGCUCCCAUAAUUCCUAUGUGUCGUGGGAGGGACCCAAUGGGAGGUAAUUGAAUCAUAGGGGCAGGUCUUUCCCCUGCUGUCCUUAUGAUAGUGAAUAAGUCUCAUGAGAUCUGAUGGUUUUAUACAUGGGAGUUCCCCUGCACAAGCCCUCUUGUCUGCCGCCAUGUAAGAUGUGCCUUUGCUUCUCCUCUGCCUUCCACCAUGAUUGUGAGGACUCCCCAACCAUGUGGAACUGUGAGUCCAUUAAACCUCUUUCCUUUGUAAAUUACCCAGUCUUGGGUCUGUCUUUAUUAGCCGCAUGAGAACAUACCAAUUUAUACACAUCUUCUGGAACCCAUUUCUUUCUGGUAGGUACUAGGAGUGACACUGUCAGGCUGUAGGAUAUAAGAUGCUUCAACCUUAUAAGAUAAUGCCAACGGAGUGUAUGAAAGCC
rnacentral:lncRNA from 10 species